rnacentral:rRNA from 1 species
UACGGGGGGAGCAAGCGUUGUUCGGAUUUACUGGGCGUAAAGGGCGCGUAGGCGGCUUAACAAGUCACUUGUGAAAUCUCCGGGCUUAACCCGGAGCGGUCAAGUGAUACUGUCGUGCUAGAGUGCGGAAGGGGCUACUGGAAUUCUUGGUGUAGCGGUGAAAUGCGUAGAUAUCAAGAGGAACACCUGCGGCGAAGGCGGGUUGCUGGGCCGACACUGACGCUGAGGCGCGAAAGCGUGGGGAGCGAACAGG